UCCCCAUCUCCGCUCUUUUUGGUGUGUUGCUGACUUUCUCCUCAGUUUGUCCAAACACUUUCAGUUUUCACUUUCAGGAAGUGUUGAGGUCCACACCCAGCUCGGGCUCUCCACCCCUGCUGGGAAGCACGUGGCUUCCCCUCUGGGUGGAUUUCAAGCAUCCCUGGCGUAGGUGCAGCGGCCUUGCCCUGGGCUUGCCAGCGGCCUUUGGGGUCCCAGUUGGCAGGCAGCCCUGUUCCCUAAGGGUCCCUGCCAGAACCGCUGGUCCCUGGAGCUACCCGUGAGUACUUUUCUGUCUUGGAAUAGGAUGUUCAAGUGCUAUUGAACAUCCUAAGUAAGGAUUACUUAGGUAAGGACGGAGCCAUAGAUUAAUCCGUCCCCUCACUGCCCCGAGGAACCCAGGAUCUGGCGCGGUCCUCAGCAUGCUUGAGUGAAUGAGUGAUGAACUGACAGGCGUGGGGAGGACGGGGCUGAAGCACGCUUCACUCGCCUGCGGUUUUGUGAGGGCGGGUUCCGCAGGCCGGAAAGGAAUUCUUCACCCCGGAAGUGAAUGCUGGUGGCAUGCAUUAAACAGCCCGAUUUGGCUGUCCCUUUCCCCACUGGUUUUGCUGCAGUCAUCCUUUGGUGACAAAAAUUUCCCUCUGGAUUGUAUCACUCAGGAGCCUAGGAAGAGGAGGGAGGAGUGGGGUUUUCUGUGCCGUGCCACCGUGGAGUGUAUCCUGCAGACAUUUCUAAUGCCAAGCUCACCAGCCAGGAAGUCACGUCAGCUGUGGAAAUGUUCAGCUUAGGGGCUCACCAUAUCUGAAUCACAUCCAAAACUUUUUAAGAACCUGGAUUAAGUAAAAUAUGCUAGGGAUUCAGGCUCUCCCUUAGCUUAGUAGAGGAACCUGGAUUAAGUAAAAUAUGCUAGGGAUUCAGGCUCUCCCUUAGCUUAGUAGAGAAUGGACCACUUCAAAGCCAACCCUUCAUUGUCUAAGUCUUUUUUCUUUUUUUCCCUCUGUGUGAGUUCAGUCUGUUGACAUCUUCUGCUGUUUUUCUAUGUUGACUUUCAUUUUGGAUUGGAAAAGUGAGGCUCGUGCAUUUCAUACGGCAGUUAUCAGAAGCACAUCUGAUUCAAAGCCACACAGUGUUGCUAUUGAUUGUACAGCGAUGUUGGCAUGGAUCAUUUAAGGUAAAUGUU
rnacentral:lncRNA from 1 species